GCCGGGUGCGGUGGCGCGCGCCUGUAAUCCAAGCUACCGGGAGGCUGAGGCUGGCGGAUCGUUUGAGCUCAGGAGCUCUGAGCUGCAGCGGACUAUGCCGAUCGGGUGUCCGCACUAAGUUCGGUAUCGAUAUGGUGCUCCUGGGGGAGCCCGGGACCACCAGGUCGCCUAAGGAGGGGUGCACCGGCCCAGGUCGGAAACGGAGCAGGUCAAAGCCCCCGUGCCGCUCAGUAGUGGGAUCGCGCCUGUGAAUAGACGCUGUAGUGCAGCCUGAGUAAUACAGCGGGACCCAGUCUUUU
ensembl:misc_RNA Metazoa_SRP Metazoan signal recognition particle RNA